UGUCAGCAACUAGCCGUCCUCAGUCUGGAAGCUAUAAAAGGUCUGAGGAGGGCUCCCUCGGUCUCUAACUCCGGCGGCUCACGAAUUUCGUGUUUAUCACUGGCCUUCCUGUGUUCUCAAAGAUGGCAACCAGCAGGGUUCCAAGCGGCAGACGGGGUGAAGCAAGUAAAGCUCAGAGCACUGAAUGAUUUCCUGAGACCAUAAAGCUUGGAAGCCAACGUGCUGAAGGUCCAGCCCCACACUUCUAAUUCCCAGAGCUGGUUCAUGGCUCUAGCCAAAGUUAAGAAUCACUGGAAAUCUGACCAAAGCAUUAACUGGCAGCAUUCCUAUGAGUAGCACAGGUCAAUGGACAUGAGUCUGAGCAAGCUCCAGGAGAUGGUGAAGGACAGGGGAGCCAGGCGUGCUGCAGUCCAUGGGG